AUGGUCAGCGUCACCGAGCUCUGCCCGUUGUCCCUGGAGAUCGUGAACCGGCCCUGCACCGAUGGGCUCCGGGCGGCCGUGACCCUGCUGGAGUCCGGGGGGGACCUCCAGCCCCCCGGGGGGUCCCUGCGCCUCCUCUGCCGAGCGUCUGGCUUCAAUUUCGGACAAUUUGCGAUGGGCUGGUACCGGCAGAGACCCGGGCAGGCGCUGGAGUAUAUCGCAGACAUCAGUAGCAGUGGCAGCACCGCCUAUGCGCCAUCGUUCAAGGGCCGGUUCACGAUCUCCAGGGACAACGGGCAGAGCUCGGUGACGCUGACCAUGAACAACCUCAAGGACGAGGAUUCCGGAUCCUAUUUCUGCGCUAAAUCUCCUUAUACUGGUGGUGCUGGUGCUGGUUAUGUUCUCACCCGCUGA